rnacentral:lncRNA from 1 species
AAAAAUAUAUAGAAAUUCAUCUGAACUAUCGCUCAUUUUGAUCUUACUACCUCUCCUUUAAAAAUUUUGAUUUUACUGUUUAACCUAUUAGUUUAUUCGAUUUGAAUCAUUUAAUGUUUCUUCAACUUCAAAUUUUAUAUGUUUUCUAUCCUUACGAGCUUAAGUAGUAUAUUUUACAUAAUUCUUGUGACUAUAAAUCCAUUAAAUUAAGCAAAAAGACUAAAUUUUAUACCAUAAAAUGAUAUAAAUCAGACAAAUUGAAAAAUUGGAUAGUAAAAUUAUAAUUUUAAAAGAUUGGAUAAUUAAAUAAAAACGGGUCAUAGUUCAGAUGAGUUCUAUACAUUUUUAUAGCUUAAUAUUCCGGCAUCUUGAUUAAUUCCAAGUAGUAUGAUGAAUAAAGUUUGCGAGAAGUGUUUUUUUUUUUUUUUUGAGAGAGAGAAAGGUAGCAUGCUAUCCAUUUAAUUUAUUUUUUUAAAAAAUAAACUUAGUUAGAAAUGUGAAUCAAUUAAAAUUUGAACUUAGAAUUUCGAAUACCAACCAUCAAACCCUUUACCACUUACGCCAGGAACAGUCGGUGUUUGCGAGAAGUGUUAAUAUGACUAGUUCG